rnacentral:misc_RNA from 1 species
CAAGAUUGCUGUUAGUAUAUCCUUUGCCUCAGCAUAUCAAAGAUUUUGUUUGACAUGUUGGAAUCAGAAUUUUUGCAUGUGCGCUUGCA